rnacentral:rRNA from 1 species
UACGUAGGUGGCAAGCGUUAUCCGGAAUUAUUGGGCGUAAAGCGCGCGCAGGCGGUCCUUUAAGUCUGAUGUGAAAGCCCACGGCUCAACCGUGGAGGGUCAUUGGAAACUGGGGGACUUGAGUGCAGAAGAGGAGAGCGGAAUUCCACGUGUAGCGGUGAAAUGCGUAGAGAUGUGGAGGAACACCAGUGGCGAAGGCGGCUCUCUAGUCUGUAACUGACGCUGAGGCGCGAAAGCGUGGGGAGCGAACAGG